rnacentral:rRNA from 1 species
AGUGAGCGGCAAAAGCUCAAAUUUGGAAUCUCAGUCUUUCAGGCUGCGAGUUGUAAUUUGAAGACGUAUUUUGAAGUAAGCACAUGUCGAAGUUCCUUGGAACAGGACGUCACAGAGGGUGAGAAUCCCGUGCGAUGUGUUCACUGCUUCAUGUAAAAUGCAGUCGAAGAGUCGAGUUGUUU